GUCUCAAAAAAAAAAAAAAAAAAUGAGCUUGGUGGAGGAGGGAAAAAGCUUUCUUCUCCUUCAGUUCAAGGGCUGCCAUUGCAGCAGGUGAAACAAAGCCCUGGCUGUGUGGGGUUUUGUGUUGCUUUAUAUUAGGUGAGCUGCUUUGAGGCAAAACCCUGUUUCCUGUGUCCUUCAUGGGCCAGACACUGUGUGGGGGCUUGAAGUGUAGAAAUAAGGCUGAGGUGGCCUCUGCCCUUCUGAAGGUCACAGUUGAGCUGGGGAGACAGAUGGUACAGGAGAUCCCGGACCAACAGAGCGUCGCCACACGUGGCAAUGACGGCUCCACAGGAAACCCACUAGGCAUGAGGGUGAAGAUCAGGGCUAGGACCGCUUUGGACCGGAGGCGCUCUCUGGCAGGUCUUUCUGAGCAGAGGAUACUUCAGGCAAGUCAAGGAUGAAGCAGAGGGGCUGACAGUGAAUAGCGGGAUGAAGGAGGCCCAGGAGGUGGGCCUGGCGCGUGUCCUGUUCGCCUGCAGAGCCAUGAGCUGGGCUGCUGGGUAAGGGUGGGGUGUGAGAGGCUGGCUUCCCGUUCAGGAGUUUGACCUUCUCCCAAAUGCAAAGGGUAGGUAGUGUGCUCAGAAAUCCAGCGAUGGAGCGCCUCUGCCUCCACUCAGCGCCCACUAUAAAUGUGCUGAAUGAGCAAAAAACAAAUACAGUAGAUGGAUGUUGCAUGCUCAGAAACAUUCCAUUUUAUUUUAUUUUUAAACUUUGGUUUCGAUUUCUAUUAUAUAAAAAGUCACUUCCAUUUAGAUUUGUUUUCACUGCAAGACCAAGCUACAGUGGGGAGAACAGGGUCUGGUGUGUAGCCACGUACCUGCAGCUAGAGGGACGCAGCUUGAGAUGCCCUCCCACUGCCUGGACCUCAUGAAGUGCUUUCACGAACCAAUCUGUCCCCUUUGUCGUCACCAGACAUGCUAGGCUGAGCAGGUAUUCAUAUAGUCUCCACUUUGAAAAUAAGGAUGCAGAGCCUGGGAGAAUGGAAAAGACUUGGCAAGGUCUCUGGAACAUGUGCCUGUGUUCUGGUGAGCUUUCUGUGAGCCUGAGGCAAACGGUGGCCACAUUCAGAAUUACUUGGGCUCCUAGCAGUGGCCUCAGAGGCCUUUGCUGGAGGAGUCUGUGGUGAGCGGGAAGGAGCUUAGGGGUGGCUCUGAUAGACCAUCCCCACUCCCCUUACCACUUCCACACAGUUAAGUCCUUGGUUGGUGCCUGCUCAUCAGGUGGACAGGAGACUCCAUCUCCCUAACCACACUCUGUGCCCACUGGGUGUCCACAUCCUAAACUUCAUUAGGACACUGAAGUCCUGAGGUUGGGGAGGGACCAAAAAGAUCAGUGGAAGUUCUGGCUGUCUCCCCGAUCCCUACACUUAAAUGUUUGUGACUGGAAUGAUUCUGGAUGUGCUAACUGUCUACUGAUGAGCAUCUUGGUCCUCUGGUAUCCUGAAGUCCUGGCCCAGUCUCCUCCUUGGACUUGUUUCCAAGGGAGUCUACUGUGAUCACUAGGAUCACCCCUUAUCAUGUGAGAUUCAUUUAGGUGUGUCAGCAUUUGGGGACACGUGUGACAUUCAGAAUAGCUAGUGUAGAUCUUCAACCACCUUCCAUUCUAUGUUUCCUGGCAGGAGUCCACUGGUAAUUCUUUGAAGCAAAACAAUACUUUUGCAACUUAAUCUUCAGCAUUUGGAAUACAGUAUCUCUUGUCUGAGCUUGAAUGGAAAGAACCCACAGUCUGUGACUUCUAGCCAUUUAGAAAAAUGGCAAUUGCCAUAAGACGUGAACUUGGCAUUUGAAAUCAGCAGACAAUGAGGAGUUAGUGUAAUGUAAAGAGACAAACAUGGGAUUUGGAUAUGGGGAGGGCUGGGUUCCACAUGCUUUUCACUUGCUGUCAUGGGACUUUGGAGUGGACAAUUUUCAUGAUCUCACUAAAGCCCAUUUUUAUCACCUUUUAAAUGGGGGAUAAUACCAUCUACCUCAUAAUAUAUUUGUGAGGAUUAAAAGAGAGGAAUUAAAAUACCUGGCACAUAAGAAACACUCAAGAAAUAUUAGUUUAUCUGCCCCUUUACUCUUAAUGAUUUAAUUAAUCACUCCAAAAAUAGAACAUUCUUCAGAAUAGACUCCUACCCAUUUGCUGUUGAUGGGACAUCCAAAGGGAUGUGCAGUUCUUUUGUUUGGUGUAUAAUAAGUUGACUUUGCACUUUAAAAGGGGAAAAAGGAAACCUCUGGUACCUCAAACAAUGACCCUUUUAAAGUCUGCGCUGGACACCAUUCUCAAAGAAUAUUCUUAUUAACAUACUUUAUUAUAAAUGGAGCUCUACUCAUCAAAUAUGUAUAAGUUAGUAGCCUGCAGAGUCAGAGCAGUGCUUGGCAAACCUGAGGACAUUUCCCAUGUGCGCUGUGGGAUGGCAUAGGCAGGGGAUACCCUUUAAUUUUGUGACAUGGUUUGGGGGGGCUCCAAUGUGAGGUACUCUUGGCAUGGUUUCUUCCAGCUCUGGGCCUGUUCUGGGGCCUGUCAGGACUCCCACAUAUCCCAUCCUUGCAGGCAACUCCCUUUGAAGUCCAUGGGAACUCUUUGAAUGGAAAACAUACACAACGGGGUGUUGAUGCCAAUAAGAAUCAGGCCUGAUGUAUGCGAGGAAUAAAGGUGCUUCUCACCCCAAAUAUUAGCUCUUUAGCCCAGAAACUAUGGUUUGAUCAUUAAAUAAAAGAGCACUCCCCUCCUCUCCAAAGAGAGGAGCUCCACCAUCCAUUUGCUCUGGAGAUGAUAAACCUGCUAAUUGCUGGAGAGUUUUAAUUAAGCAACAGAUAGAGACAGUGUAGGGCUGUGUUUUUACUUUAAACAUAUCAAUAGAAUAAACAUUCUCAAUUCCAGGGCAACUUGCUAAAUGAAAAAAAAAAAUAAACAUUACUUUCUUUUGAAAUAUCACUCAUUGGGUGUGAUAAUUUAGAAAAAUAUCCCUAUUAGAGAUAGUUAGGGACGUUUUUUCUUUUUCUUUUUUUCUUUUUUGGUUGAAAAUGCAAUCGCCGAUGGAGCACAAAGCUGCAAUUUGUAGACAGGUUAAGUAAAUUAAAUCACUCACUGUCUUUUUCUUUUUUCCAAUGGCUUUAAAAGUUAAAGGUAAUUUGCAAAGAAAAUGCUCAGUUUGAAUUGGUUUGUAAUAUCUGUUAAUGAUCUUUAAAAAAAUCCACUUAUUCACAAUUCUGUCCCUGGGGGAAUUCCGAUGUGCUAUCAGAAAAAAUUUCUAAAGUCUGAAAUGUCAUUAGCUGGUGAUUUCUUUGAAGUAAAAAGCCCCGAAAAAAAUAAAUUAUAUAAGGUAUACAAGUGCACAGGACAAUCACUUUGAUGAAUAGUAUCUCUUUUUUCGUAAUGUUUCAUACCUAAAAAUGCAACAAUUGAAAUUCAAGCUGGUAAAUUAUAGAGCCAUCUUUUGAAUUACCUCAAUGUAGGCAUGCCUUCUGUUUAUUUCUCACAUAUAUUGAGUUCUUCCAUGUAUUUAUAGAUUGUUGAUAUAAAAACAGUAGUGUUAGGAACAAUUUUGAUUAUAUUCAUUGUGUUUACUUUUUGGAAACACAAGGUGUUGCCUAAAUACAGGCAUACAGGUGUUGCCAUCCGGGGAUUAAAACAAUAGCCUAUUUCAAUAUUCCAUCCUGGAUCCCAGAGCCAGGUGCCGUGAAUGGAGGUGCAAAUGCUACUCAGCCCGGGAGAGUUGUUCAAUAUUAGAUAACAGAGCCAUGAAAUACUACACCAAAGGGAAAAUUUUCUUCCUGACCCCAGCUGGUGAUCAGUUUUUGCCUGGAAGCAGGGGAGUCUUUGUAAUACAAUACUUGUCAAUGUUGCUGGUUUGGCUGCUAUAAAUAGCUUUUUUUUUUUUUUUUUUUGGAGGAUGGGAGGAGUUGGAUUUUACUAAACCGUUGGCUACAGGUUAAUUAUACAUUUCACACAAAAGCAUUUCUUGUAGCCAGUCUAAAUUUGUUAUGUUUUAAUCCCAUUUUAUAUAAGGCUAGAAAUAUAUGAGCCUCCAGCAGGCCCGUUAUUAUUGUCAUUAUUUUAUACAUUGGACCUUCAGCUCUCUCUCUCUCUCUCUCUUUUUCUUUUUCCUCUCUAUGCAUUACUCACCUCUUAGCUAAAUUGCAGAGGGUCCCAGUUUCAUUCAUUCUCCCUCACAGGGAAGGCAUUCACUUCCUCUUCCUCCAGCGGCCUGAAAAUCAUAUGUGUGGUUUUUCCUCUUUCCUGCUCUGUAGCUGACAUCAGGGGAGCAAACUGAACACAGGAAAAUGGAAAUCAACAUUUGAAACUUUUAAAUGGAAGCUUUCCACAUAUGGAAAACUGCAAAUAGCAGAAGUGUGUGACUUGAUAAAUUAAUCUGGAGUGACCACAUCCUCUAACUGCCUCCCAGGACAAGAAGGAGAAUGUGAACAAUGCUCCUGAAGGCCCCUUUCCCUCAAAGAAUCACUGCAGUUGAAGGAAAAAUGCUCCGUGUCCCCUCUGCUGGUUGGUAUUUAUCAAAGGACGAUGGAGGAAGAGAGACAAAGUGCCUGGAUGUGUGUGUUAAUCAAGAGUUGUCAGGACCCUGCCUCUAAAAGAAAGUGCUAAAAUGAUGCUUUUGACAAGACUUUUCUCAAAGUGGAUGCAGUCCAAGGGUUGGAAAACAAGUCCCAAUCAGGCUAGGUGCGACUUGUCGCCUGCUUUCGUAAAUAAAGUUUUAUUGGCUCACAGACACA